UUCAACACAUGUUUUUCCUAUACUGAGAUUAUUAGCUUCCUGACCUGCAUACUUUCAGCACAAACAUUCGUGCUGCACCUUCACAACUGAUGGUGUACAGAACUUUCCCCCCAUCUCUUCACAAAUAUUUCUGUGCAGGAAAAAAAAUCAUGUGUAAAAUUAUCCUUUGAUUCUCUCCCACCUAAAAACAUCCCUAUGUAGUAAUCAGAGCAGAAAAUGUUCAACGGGAGAGACGAGUUGGGCAAAACAUUCCAUUUCCUGCCCAAAAGUAUGAGUGCUGUGGUUGCUUUUUCUGUUUCUGAAAGAUCUCUUUCCGGUUCAGCUUCUUUGGCUGAAAAACAAGAAAUGAACUGUCGCUUGGCAGCAGGAUUGGUUCUCAAGGACCAGUUCCAUUUCCAUCUGACAUGCUUGGUUUCCACAUAGCUAAGUCAAAAUUGCUUUAUGAAAUGUUUCAGUUUUUCCAUUCUGGUUCAGGACACAAAUCAGAAUUUUGCACAAAAUUCAAAGUACAGUUUUCUGGCCAGCUCUGCCCUGUGCAUCAAUCACAAAACAACAGCUCACAACCUAAAUCCUGAAACACAAUGCUUCUUUUUUUAUAAAAAAAAAAGGUUAUUUUCUUUCUUACUUACUGACCUACUCUAAAGGAAAAAGAUGGCAGCUGGGGAAAAAUAUUCUGUUUGCUAGGAUUCUUGAGUGAUUUUGGAACCUGAUGGAUGUGCCACAGUUUUCAGCACACACACAUUUCUUUCAACAAGAUACAAGGUUUGGGACCAAAUGUAUUUUUCACCUAAGACAGUGAAAUAACUUUAGGUACUCCCGAAGUUUGGAGAUUUUGGGCUUCAGGAAGAGACCCCUCCAACUGCAGAAGUUGCUUAACAUCUUUCUGCACUGCAAUUAUAUACACAAGUAGUUUGCCAGUUUCUCGGUGGCACUGACAUUUGUAGUGGAAUAACACUUUACAACUUUGUCUUUAGAAUGAGAUAAAUAAGAAGUGCAGAUGUCUUCUAGCUGUUCUUUGCCAACAUGGAGUUGUCCCUUGGGGGCUUUGUGUGAAAUUCUGACCCACUUGGGCAUAAAAUUGUGUCUAGUUUUUGGGCACAGAGACUGACGCACCAUAGCUUACUUGUGUGAGAUAGCAGGGCUGAUUCACCUUUGAAUCCACUUCCUCAGUGACAUUCUUCCUUCUCGACCGCAGGCACUUUAUAUUCCCCCUCCCUUUCGCCCAAUAACUGCUGUAAUUAUAUCCCCCAAAGUAUGCCGGAUUGCCUAUUCACUUCAUGUUGCCAAGGGAGUUUCUGCUGAGAUUUUCACAUUUUGGUUGUGUGAACCCCCUUAGCAGCUUCAAUAGGGUUGGGCCUUCUAUUAAAAUGGAUUAAUUCAGUUGAUUUAAAACUAAGAACUGCUUCUAGGAUCUGGAGAGAAUUCCCUGCACACAGAAACUUGCCAUGUGGCAGAGAUUCCUCUGAUCAUUUAGAUUUGUCCUGUUUUCUCACCAUGAAACUAUUUAGACCAGAAACCACUGUCAAAGGUAGAACCUAGCAGCAUUUGACAUGUAUGCCCCACUUCUCCCACUCUCCUUUCCACCCACCCACUGCUUAAAAAACUGCUAAGUGCUUCUAGCUAACUCACAAUAGAAAUUGUGUUUCUCCUCCCCCCCCCCGCACCCCCGCCAACAAGUCUGUGACCAGCAAAGCACAGGAAACGGUGGAAAGGGGGACACAUUGUGUGUGCAUGUGUGUAUCUGUGUGCGCGUGUGCAUGUGAGUAUGUAGCAGGUGUGCUGGAGACCUUUUAACCUGAAAUGUUGUCAUGCCAUAUAAAUUAUUUAUAUGAAAAGAAAAAAGAUUUAUUUUUGUAGUUUGUACAGACCUCUAGCCUUGCAAUGGAA